rnacentral:lncRNA from 9 species
AUAAAGACAAAUAUUAUAUGAUGUCACUUAUAUGUUCGAUCUAAAAAAUAAUACAAAUAAAUCUAUAUACAAAACAGGAACAGAUUCACGGACAUAGAAAACAAACUUAUGGUUACAAAGGGGAAAGGUGGGAAAGGAAUAAAUCAGGAAUUUGGAAUUAACACAUUAGUAUACAUAAAGUAAAUAAGCAACAAGGAUUUAUUGUAUGGCACGGGGAACUAUAUUCAAUAUCUUGUAAUAAUCUAUAAUGGAAACAAUCUGAAAAAAUACAUGUGUGUGUAUACAUAUACACACAACACACAUAUACAUAUAUAGAAAAUGAAUAUAUAUGUAACUGAAUCAUUUUGCUGUAUGCCUGAUUUACGGUAUUAUAAAUCAACUGUACUUCAAUAUAAAUAAUUUUUAAAAAUUGGUUAAACUCUAUGACCCUGAGGUCGUUCCAAUCCUGAUCCUAAGACAAACAAGUCAAGCAUAAACCAAAACCAUGAGACUGAAUUCCUAAAGUGUUGUCAUCACAGCACAAACCCUGAGACAGUCCCUGUUGAAAGAAAACAGAUGCUCCCAUCUUCUAUGAUACUUUGUCUUAAAUCAUUUGGAUCCAAUAGAUAUCUCUUGCCAUAUCAGAAUGGAAGCACUUACAGAGGUCACCAGAAUAUCAUCCCAGUUCUGCAAAACUUAUCUUCCCUUGGAACUGACCCAAAUGAGAACUCCUGAGCCUGUGAGCAAAGGAACAUGUCCCUUGGGCAGAAAACUCCUACACAUGCCUGUCCAGCAUAUUUUUACAUAGGCUCAGUUGAUCUCCUGCAGGGUUAAAUGCACAGUGUCCAGAAUCAGCCCUGCAUGGGUUGAAUUCCUGUCGAGCCACCUGGAGCUGUCACUUCACCUCUCUGUGCUUCACUUUCCUCAUCUGCAGAGUGAUGGUACUAACCCCCACCAAGCAGGGCUGAGUCACAUAUUAAAUUGAGCAAUAGAUGUAAAGUCCUUAGCAUGGUUGCAUGGCUCAAUGACGUGCUUUAACAUUUUUGUUGGUAUCUGACAUUAUUGUGGUGGACAAAGUCUCA